rnacentral:rRNA from 1 species
ACACGACUACAUUAGAUACCCGGGUAGUCCCAGCUGUAAACUAUGUGCGUUAGGUGUCGGCCACGGUGCGACCGUUGUCGGUGCCGUAGGGAAGCCGUGAAGCGAGCCACCUGGGAAGUACGGCCGCAAGGCUGAAACUUAAAGGAAUUGGCGGGGGAGCACAACAACGGGUGGAGCUUGCGGUUUAAUCGGAUUCAACGCCGGAAAUCUUACUGGGACCGACAGCAACAUGAAGGCCAAGCUGAAGACUUUGCCGGAUUAGCUG